GUCACCUGCGCGAGCGGCACCGACGCGCUGUCGCUGGUGCUGAUGGCCAAGGGCAUCGGUCCCGGCGAUGCGGUGAUC
rnacentral:tRNA from 1 species